UUGCAGGCUGNAACCCGCCUGCAUGAAGUCGGAAUUGCUAGUAAUCGCGGAUCAGCAUGCCGCGGUGAAUACGUUCCCGGGCCUUGUACACACCGCCCGUCACACCAUGGGAGCCGGUAAUACCCGAAGUCAGUAGUCCAACCUCGUGAGGACCGCUGCCGAAGGUAGGAUUGGCGACUGGGGUGAAGUCGUAACAAGGUAAC
rnacentral:rRNA from 1 species